rnacentral:tRNA from 1 species
UGCAGCGUGGAGCAGUUGGUAGCUCGGCGGGCUCAUAACCCGAAGGUCGCAGGUUCGAGUCCUGCCGUUGCAACCA